rnacentral:rRNA from 1 species
UACACAUGCAAGUCGAGCGAGAAGUUGAGAUAGCUUGCUAUCAAGAUGGAAAGCGGCGAACGGGUGAGUAACACGUUGGUAUCUGCCCUCUGGUCAGGGAUAGCCAUUCGAAAGGAUGAUUAAUACCGGAUAGUCUCGAAAGAGUAAAGAUUUAUUGCCAGAGGAGGAACCUGCGGCCUAUCAGCUAGUUGGUGAGGUAGAAGCUCACCAAGGCGAUGACGGGUAGCUGAUCUGAGAGGAUGAUCAGCCACAAUGGAACUGAGACACGGUCCAUACUCCUACGGGAGGCAGCAGUGAGGAAUCUUCCACAAUGGGGGCAACCCUGAUGGAGCGACACCGCGUGAAGGAUGAAGGCCUAACGGUUGUAAACUUCUUUUCUGAGGGAGCAUAAUGAGAGUACUUCAGGAAUAAGGGACGGCUAAAUACGUGCCAGCAGCCGCGGUAAUACG